CAGUAGCCGCGGUAAAACGUAGGUGGCAAGCGUUGUCCGGAAUUAUUGGGCGUAAAGCGCGCGCAGGCGGUUUUUUAAGUCUGGUGUCUAAGUGCGGGGCUCAACCCCGUGACGCACUGGAAACUGGGAGACUUGAGUGCAGAAGAGGAGAGCGGAAUUCCACGUGUAGCGGUGAAAUGCGUAGAGAUGUGGAGGAACACCAGUGGCGAAGGCGGCUCUCUGGACUGUAACUGACGCUGAGGCGCGAAAGCGUGGGGAGCAAACAGGAUUAGAUACCCCCGUAGUCCCUGUCUCUUAUACA
rnacentral:rRNA from 1 species